CAAAUCUCAGAUUUGAAGAAAGGCUGAAGCCAUUGAACAGUCUGGUGGGACACAUGGAUUCAAGCAAGCAAAUGUCAGAGUUUUACAGAACUUCAGAGUCUUCAGGAAAGUCUUGUCUCAUCAGCUAAUGCAGCAACACAACUUCAAUAUACACAAUGCCAUGCAGUCUCAUCCUUUUAUGACAAACCCAAGUAACACCUACAAUGCAAUGGAGGUAUAAAUAAA
rnacentral:lncRNA from 12 species